rnacentral:rRNA from 1 species
AUUGAACGCUGGCGGCAGGCCUAACACAUGCAAGUCGAGCGAGCGGCGGACGGGUGAGUAAUGUAUGGGGACUGCCCGAUAGAGGGGGAUAACUACUGGAAACGGUGGCUAAUACCGCAUACUAUCGGAUAACCCAUAUGGGAUUAGCUAGUAGGUGGGGUAAAGGCUCACCUAGGCGACGAUCUCUAGCUGGUCUGAGAGGAUGAUGAGUCACACUGUAACUGAGACACGGUCAAGAUGCCGACGGGGGCAGCAGUGGGGAAUAUUGGAUAAGGGGCGAAAGCCUGAUGAAGCCAUGCAGCGUGUGUGAAGAAGGUCUUCGGAUUGUAAAGCACUUUAAGUUGGGAGGCGUUACCAACAGAAGAAGCACCGGCUAACUUCGUGCCAGCAGCCGAGGUAAUUC